rnacentral:rRNA from 1 species
GACGAACGCUGGCGGCGUGCCUAAUACAUGCAAGUAGAACGCUGAAGAGAGGAGCUUGCUCUUCUUGGAUGAGUUGCGAACGGGUGAGUAACGCGUAGGUAACCUGCCUGGUAGCGGGGGAUAACUAUUGGAAACGAUAGCUAAUACCGCAUGAAAUGGAUUAUCGCAUGAUAAUUCAUUGAAAGGUGCAAAUGCAUCACUACCAGAUGGACCUGCGUUGUAUUAGCUAGUUGGUGGGGUAACGGCUCACCAAGGCGACGAUACAUAGCCGACCUGAGAGGGUGAUCGGCCACACUGGGGCUGAGACACGGCCCAGACUCCUACGGGAGGCAGCAGUAGGGAAUCUUCGGCAAUGGACGGAAGUCUGACCGAGCAACGCCGCGUGAGUGAAGAAGGUUUUCGGAUCGUAAAGCUCUGUUGUAAGAGAAGAACGAGUGGAGAGGGAAAGUUCACAC